GAUGAACGCUGACAGAAUGCUUAACACAUGCAAGUCAACUUGAACUUCGGUUUGGGUGGCGGACGGGUGAGUAACGCGUAAAGAACUUGCCUCACAGAUAGGGACAACAUUUGGAAACGAAUGCUAAUACCUGAUAUUAUGAUUUUAGGGCAUCCUAGAAUUAUGAAAGCUAUAUGCGCUGUGAGAGAGCUUUGCGUCCCAUUAGCUAGUUGGAGAGGUAACGGCUCACCAAGGCGAUGAUGGGUAGCCGGCCUGAGAGGGUGAUCGGCCACAAGGGGACUGAGACACGGCCCUUACUCCUACGGGAGGCAGCAGUGGGGAAUAUUGGACAAUGGACCAAGAGUCUGAUCCAGCAAUUCUGUGUGCACGAUGAAGUUUUUCGGAAUGUAAAGUGCUUUCAGUUGGGAAGAAAAAAAUGACGGUACCAACAGAAGAAGUGACGGCUAAAUACGUGCCAGCAGCCGCGGUAAUACGUAUGUCACAAGCGUUAUCCGGAUUUAUUGGGCGUAAAGCGCGUCUAGGUGGUUAUAUAAGUCUGAUGUGAAAAUGCAGGGCUCAACUCUGUAUUGCGUUGGAAACUGUGUAACUAGAGUACUGGAGAGGUAAGCGGAACUACAAGUGUAGAGGUGAAAUUCGUAGAUAUUUGUAGGAAUGCCGAUGGGGGAAGCCAGCUUACUGGACAGAUACUGACGCUGAAGCGCGAAAGCGUGGGUAGCAAACAGG
rnacentral:rRNA from 1 species